rnacentral:lncRNA from 1 species
AUUUCAUUGAAUUAUGUGUUCCAAAAUCACAUUUAAAAACUUGACACAAGCUGCAAAAUGUUGUAUUGAAAAAGUGAGACAUGGAUUUGUUACCUUGACCUAUAAACAUUCUGGUCACACCAGUCGAUAGUCCGAAUUUUGAUUCCCAUCGUAAGCUUGUGCAAGCAAAAUGGACGUCACAAAUUUACUCCAAUUGCCAUUUGAAACUUUAAACGUUAUCUUUGGUAGACUAUGUCUGGCGGAUCAAUUAACGUUGGCGGAGUCGCAUCCUACGCUGCUGGCUGUAUUUUUACACCGUUGCCAUGUGUCUCCAGACCCCUUUAAUAAUGGCAUUGAAAUAACACUUCAACCAGCUACCAACAAUAACGAUUGAGAGCUUAAACAACUAAAUAACAAGUAUGUACUUGUGUCUAAUUAUUGCUAAAAGUAUCUUAAAUUAUGAUUAUUUUUAAUUGCAGACUGCCUUAAUGGGAAAUCGUUUGAAUAAACAUAUUUUAUUAAAUUAAACCGAAUCAUCAUUUGUUCAUUCGUUAGUCAAUCAGUCUUAAAAAGUCCAUUUCACCGGACAUAGGG